rnacentral:rRNA from 1 species
UACGGGGGGGGCAAGCGUUGUUCGGAAUUACUGGGCGUAAAGAGCUCGUAGGCGGUUUGUCGCGUCUGCUGUGAAAACUCGGGGCUUAACUCCGGGCCUGCAGUGGGUACGGGCAGACUAGAGUGCGGUAGGGGAGACUGGAAUUCCUGGUGUAGCGGUGAAAUGCGCAGAUAUCAGGAGGAACACCGGUGGCGAAGGCGGGUCUCUGGGCCGUAACUGACGCUGAGGAGCGAAAGCGUGGGGAGCGAACAGG